AUUGAACGCUGGCGGCAUGCCUUACACAUGCAAGUCGAACGGCAGCACGGGUGCUUGCACCUGGUGGCGAGUGGCGAACGGGGGAGUAAUACAUCGGCACAUGUCCUGUAGUGGGGGAUAGCGCGGCGAAAGCCGGAUUAAUACCGCAUACGAUCUCCGGAUGAAAGCGGGGGACCUGCGGGCCUCGCGCUAUAGGGUUGGCCGUUGGCGGAUUAGCUAGUUGGUGGGGUAAAGGCCUAGCAAGGCGACGACCAGUAGCCGGUCUGAGCGGAAGACCCGCCACACUGGGACUGAGACACGGCCCAGACUCCUAGGGGGCGCCGGAGUGGGGUAUUUUGGACAAGGGGCGAACGCCUGCUCGCGCAAUGCCGCGUGUGAAGAAGGCCUUCGGGUUGUAAAGCCCUUUUGUCCGGAAAGAAAUCCUUGGCCCUAAUACGGUCGGGGGAUGACGGUACCGGAAGAAUAAGCACCGGCUAACUACGUG
rnacentral:rRNA from 1 species